UACGGGGGGAGCAAGCGUUGUUCGGAUUUACUGGGCGUAAAGGGCGCGUAGGCGGUCAGCACAAGUCAGUUGUGAAAUCUCCGGGCUUAACUCGGAAAGGUCAACUGAUACUGUGCGACUAGAGUGCAGAAGGGGCAACUGGAAUUCUCGGUGUAGCGGUGAAAUGCGUAGAUAUCGAGAGGAACACCUGCGGCGAAGGCGGGUUGCUGGGCUGACACUGACGCUGAUGCGCGAA
rnacentral:rRNA from 1 species